AAUCCACGCCGCAUCCACAAUCCUCACCAAAGGUGCAGAAACACCGGUUUCACCACCCACUGUGCUGGGCCAGGGAUCCACAGGUAACACCUCAGAGACAAACCAGACCAUUAACCGACUGUGCUACAGCUGGAACUCCUAUUUAUGUAUUUUUAAAGAGAAGCUAUGUAUUUAAGGUGCACAACAUGAGGAUAUGAGGUACAAAUACAUGGUGAAAUGAUAACUACAGUCAAGUCGAUUAAUAAAUAUGUCAUCUCUGGAGUUCCCGUUGUGGCGCAGUGAAAAUGAAUUCGACUGGGAACCAUGAGGUUGCAGGUUUGAUCCCUGGCCUUGCUCAGUGGGUUAAGGAUCCGGCGUUGCCAUGAGCUGUAGAGUAGGUCACAGACGUGGCUGUGGGGUCUAUUUGGAGCUGUAGCCACCUGCCUAUGCCAGAGCCACAGCAACACUGGAUCUGAGCCGAAUCUGCGACCUACACCACAGCUUACAGCAAUGCCGGAUCCUUAACCCACUGAGUGAGGCUGGGGAUCAAACCCACAACCUCGUGGUUCCUAGUUGGAUUCAUUAACCACUGAGCCACGACGGGAACUCCAAGAGUUUCUUCCCUUUUUGGAGGUUUCUUUUGCCAGCAUUCAAUUGAUGUUUUGUGUGAAUCAUUUUACAUGCAGUGUGUUUUUUUGAUGUGUUUGUGGGAGAAGUUGAGCAUGACGUCUUACUCCUCCAUCUCGAUGCGCCUCUCCAAAAGUAUUUACUCUCAAUUUGGAGAUGUCUCUUGACUGGCAGUAUGUGCAAAGUUAAUUGAUCAUGAAGAAUUUCAUAAAUAGUCCUUUUCCAAUAGGAAACUCUCAGGAGUUAAUGCAUUACAAUUUACACUCGGAGUAAAACAAACUAGACGAAUGAUCACCUUGACGAAGGAAUGACUAUGUGAUUUUCAUAUGGAACUGAGAUGUCUGACAAUAAAAACCCUUAUUACUUCAUUUUCUAUUAUCAAAUAUAAAAGCAGGUUUGUGCACCUUCCAAGUACUCUUGCGUAUGGCAUACCGUGUUUUUAUAAAGUGUCAUUAUUGCAUGAUAAUCAUACAUGGACAAGUGCAUGUUUAAUUUUUCCUUUGUAUUUAUGAAUACAUUUAAGUUCAAGUUUAUCAGUUUUGUAUAUAGUGUAUAAUGCAUUGGGAGAUGCUAGUUUUCAUGAUUAUAAUUUUUUUUUCAUGAUUAUAAUUCUUUCAGAUUGUGUUACUUUGUUUUGGAUUAUUAAAAAACAUUUUAGAAGGAAAUGAGGAGCCCAAAAUAGGGAUCCUUUCAAAUGGUAACCUGUUGAUUCUCAAAAAAAAUGAUUGAUGAAGGGAAGUGUAAGAAGUAUGUACACUUAUUUCAGAAUGUAGUGAAUAGCAAACCUACGUCUUAAGAAAGGAAAUGCAGCUUUGCUCCCCAGUGCAUGCGGAACAACUUUUCAAAAUUUGGAAUUUUGUAAAAUACUUUAUUUAAUAACCAGUCUUUCUAGAAUUAUAUAUGAGGAUCCAGAAUAGAUAAUAUUGUUUUAUGGCCCCACCUGUGGCAUAUGGAAGUUCCCAGACUAGGGGUCAAAUCAGAGCUGCAGCUGCCACAUCCACUGCAAGGCCAGUUCUGAGACACAUCUGCAACCUCAACUGCUGCAGCUUUUAGUAAGGCUGGCACCUUAACACACUGAGUGAGGCCAGGGAUCCAACUUGCCUCCUCAGAGAGACAGUACCAGGUCCUUAACUUGCUGAGCCUCAACAGGAGCUCCAGAAUUGACAGUGUUUUAAAUGUCACUUUGAUUUUAUGAAGUGCCACUUUUUGUUGUACACGAGUAGUGAUAUUUUAUACUUAUACAAUAUAUAAUCAUGUGUUUUUUCUUUUUAAUAUUGGAAAUUUUAUUUUUGCAGGUAAUUUUUAUUGCUUUGUUAAGCAAUACAAUAGUGUUCUAUGAAGAGAAAGGCAUAGUAUUAGUUACAGUUUAAUCCUGAGAAUAUUCCAAGUUCUGAAAUAUUGGAAGUUCUCAGAAAAUAUUUCUUAAUAAUUGAAAAGGUGAUAGAUGAAUGUAUAAGAUGAUUUAGGUGAUUUUUCUCCUGCAUGAAACCUUUGUGUUAAUUCCUGCAUCACAUUUUCCCUCUUGGGUCAGAUGAUGGUUAUAGGGUCCCUCCCUUGCUUGCAUGUGUUCAUGCAUGCAUGUGGCACGUGCACACAACACACACGGGAGCACACACAGUAAUGCUGCAGCCAACAAACAUCAUGUGCUUUAUGUUCACUUCUGCUAAUGAUACCAAAUCCCCCCACUUCCUAGUCCUCCAAUCCAUAAUGUUACACAAAGAUGGUUAUUUCUGUUUUUGAUAGCAGUGGUGUCUGCCCAGGGCUCACUAGUCUGGGCAAAGGGUAGUGAGGCCCAGAAAGGGCAGCCCCAGCCCUUGGCUCCAUGCUUCUCUCCCCACCACCAGGCUCACCAAGCCAGCUCUCUUCCUGGACUCCAGUGUGGCAUGGGGAGGGUGGACCACAGCCUCCUCUGCCUGGGUGGCUGGGGCAGAGCAUUGGCAGGAGGGGCAGGGGAGGGACUUGGGCCAGGGAAGUAAGUGGGUCUAUUUUCCUGGGCCCUAGAUGGAUCACUCCUGACCAGGCUGGUGUUUGGGGAGCACACAGCCUCUCUCAACAUUCAGCGCUGAGCAAAGAAUCCCAUCUCUCUUCCUGGACCCCACUGACCUACUCACCCUACUCACCACACUUUCCAGGAUAAAGCUUGUUCCAGCCAUGGCAUCCUUCUAACCAUCACUGUCAAUUGCCUUGAUAAUUCUGUAUAGGUUUUUGCCUUUUUUUUCUCUUUAGGGCUCCAACUGGAGCCACAGUUGCAUCAUUCAGAUUCCUCUACCCACUACACCACAGUGGGAACUCCUGUAUUUUCUAUGGAGUUCAUUUAGAGUCAAAUACAUAGAAACAUUUUUACUUUUGCAGAGGUUAAGUAGGAAGUUGAAUGUUCUCUAAUAAACUUUUCCAGGUCUUUGCUCUCUCUGCAUAUUUUCUUUAAUGAUGGUCCUAGGGAAAGCCUUAAUACAAGAUUUGAAAAGCCAAAGCCAGAUCGUUCUGAUUUCCCUAAAGCUACAUGAUUUCAUGAUUUACAUAAUUACAGCUUUUAUCUCUGUGUGUACAUUUCAGAAUAAAAUUAAAAAAUAUCAGAAGCCCAGCCUAGGAGUUUCCUUGUGGUCCAGCAGGUGAAGGGUCCACCAUUGUCACUGCAUCGGCUUGAGUUGCAGCUGUGGCCCAGGUUCAAUCCCUGGCCCAGGAAUUUUCACAUACCAUGGUUUUGCCCAAAACAUGAAUUUCAAAAGAGAGAACAAAAUUAUAUUAUUGUUAAAUCCUUUUAAAAAAGAAAAUAAAAUCCCAGCCUAGCCAAAAGGAGAGAGUGUCAGGCCGGUUCAUUGUAAUGAAUGCCAAGAGGGAUGAGAAAUUCAGCUAGACAAAGACUGGAAAGGUGGCACCUUUAUUUAUCAGUUGGAAUCAUCAGGGACUCUGGUGUCCAUUCAAAGGAAUGGGGGAAGGAAAAGACAUCCUGGAAGUGGUGGAGACUGUCAAAGAGAAAAGAAACAAAUCUUUCUAGAAGCUUGUCAUGGGAAAUAAGAUUGGUACAAUUCAGCGGGGAGAAACAGCAUGAGACGUUCACAGAGAGAGGAGAUUUUAAGUCGUCAUCUGAAGAAAGAAAAUGCAGAUAAAAUGGUAGGCUCAUUGGGCGGAUGCCUGGUUUUCUUCAGCAGCACAAAGGUGCCUGGGUGAGGUAAGAGGGGAGGAAUGAUAAUCGAUGUCUUGUGAGCUGGAGUUUGGCCAAGUACGGGGAGAGGACAGAAAGACGAGGGAAGAGAGAAUUUUAGCUCUUGGUAUUGUUGGAGGAAAAACUUUUCCUCUACCCUCUUAGUUUCAGUGAUUCGAAGUCUGCAAAUUAGAUACAAGCAGACUGCCUGAGGAAAAACCAUUUAAUUACAUAUGUCUAUAUGCAGAUGCUCACAAAGAAAUGUGGUUUGGAGGGGUGGCUAGAAUUUGGGAUUUGCCAACUAUGUAAUAAGUGGCAAGGAGUAGGAAAAAGGCAUCAAUGGAUUUUUCCUUAAAAUGAGCUUUCCAUUCUUAUACUUCUAUGAAACUAAAAUUGUAAGGUUUGUUCCAUGGUAAUAAUUUUUCAACAUAGAAUCUUAAAUACAUAAAAUGAAGAAAGUGGUUCUGUUAUAAUGUCAUGUGAAAAUUUUAGUGGCAAAAACAACAACAAAAAAAACCCCAAAAAGCUGCUUGAAGAAAGGAAUAAGAGAGGGGCUAGGCCGGUUUUCACCCUGGGAUUCUGAUCAUGACUUUCUAGAAUUAGAAACAAGGAAAACAAUAUGGAAUUCUUGAAUUGUAACUCUGGAACUUUGUUUCCAUUCUAGAAAUGAGGGCCGGCUUUUGGAAACAUCUAAUUAUAUUUAUCCACUUCAUUCUGAAAUGCCUGGGGAUACUUCAAACUAUAUUGCAAGUGCCUCCACCUAGAGUGUUCUUUUUAUUAUAGAUUUUCAUUCAAAAAUAACCUACACAGUAGAAAAAAUAACAUAUUGUGGAAAUACAAAUAAAUCAAUCUAUUAUCUCACUGUUAAAAAAAAUAAACCAUCUACACAGAAGCAUUACAUGAGAUUUUCUGAAGCAGUGGAAGAAGCUGAGCAUUUUAUUAACAAAAGCGUUUCAUACAAUUGAGUUCUAUACUGCCUUCCUUCAUAACCAAUUUACCCUCAUUAGCAGG
rnacentral:lncRNA from 1 species